UACGAGAUAUCUAACAAUCCGGGAUAGCAGCAGGAAACGGCGCUGGAAUAAGGGGAUUUCCCGCAAAAAAAGGGAAGGUUGACAGCUAUGGAAAGACCGGUUAGCAAUUCACCUAUUUACUCUGCAGCUGCAAGACUGGCCCAAGAGAUUUUGUCACCUGAGGGAAACCACAAAAUGGCAUCUUCCUCUUGCCAGGCAAGAAGGGUGAAGCCCGUUGCAAUUUGAUGUUCCCCACCGUUGGCUUCAAUACUUCAUGGAAUCAUAGAACUGUAGAGGUGGAAGUGACCAUGAGAGUCAUCUAGUCCAACACCCCUGCAAUGCAGGAAUCUUUUCUCCAAUAUGAGGCUUGAACCCACUAUCCUGAGAUUAAGAGUCUCAUGCUAUCCCUCAGUGUCUUGAAUCAACAUAUUCUGAUUCAGACUCCAGAACUUGUAGUUGAUGACGAGAGAACGUUUCAUUUCUAAUUGGAAACUAGCUGCACAAAGGCAAUGGAUAAUUAGGGAGAAUAAUAGUCCAGAGAUAGCCAGAGAUUAAUGCUACAAAUUUCACCUCAGUGCAUGCUGAAAAAACUACAGGCAGUUCAUGUUGGCUUCUGAAUACACUGAAUACUUGCAGGUCUGUUUCCCUAGUUGUUAGGAUUAAACCUGCCUAUUCAUUGCCCUACAGUCCUCUGUGGAAAGUCAGGAAGUCCUUAAAGAAUAUUCUAGAGUCCAUAAUCCAAGAACAUGAGCUUUGAAUUUAGAUAGCUUUGAGGUUUUUUUAAUCUGUUUCAUUCUGGUGUAAGGGAGAUUUGUCUGGUGUCUUCAUUAUAUAUCUUGAGGUGCCUCUUCAACCUGGCGUUGGCUGAUUAACAUUCUACAGCCUUUUAAAUGUUUUUGCGGUGCGUGUGUCAUUAUUGUGUUGUUUUUGUUUUAACUAUUUAUUUAUGCUUUUACUUUAUAUUUUUAUCUUGUGAAGCGCCUUGAGAUCUUGUCAUGAAGGGUAGUACCGUAUUUUUCGCUCUAUAGGACACACUUUUCCCCCUUCAAAAAUUAAGGGGAAAUGUGUGUGCGUCCUAUGGA